GACGAACGCUGGCGGCGUGCUUAACACAUGCAAGUCGAGCGGUAAGGCCUUUCGGGGUACACGAGCGGCGAACGGGUGAGUAACACGUGGGUGAUCUGCCCUGCACUUCGGGAUAAGCCUGGGAAACUGGGCCUAAUACCGGAUAUGACCUCCUAUCGCAUGGUGGGUGGUGGCAAGAUUUAUCGGUGCAGGAUGGGCCCGCGGCCUAUCAGCUUGUUGGUGGGGUAAUGGCCUACCAAGGCGACGACGGGUAGCCGACCUGAGAGGGUGACCGGCCACACUGGGAAUGAGACACGGCCCAGACUCCUACGGGAGGCAGAAGUGGGGAAUAUUGCACAAUGGGCGAAAGCCUGAUGCAGCGACGACGCGUGAGGGAUGACGGCCUUCGGGUUGUAAACCUCUUUCAGCAGGGACGAAGCGCAAGUGACGGUACCUGCAGAAGAAGCACCGGCUAACUACGUG
rnacentral:rRNA from 1 species